rnacentral:sRNA from 1 species
CACCGCCUGGGGAGUACGACCGCAAGGUUAAAACUCAAAUGAAUUGACGGGGACCCGCACAAGUAGUGGAGCAUGUGGUUUAAUUCGAAGAUACGCGCAUAACCUUACCAACACUUGACAUGUUCGUCGCGACUCUAAGAGAUUGGAGUUUUCGGUUCGGCCGGACGAAACACAGGUGCUGCAUGGCUGUCGUCAGCUCGUGUCGUGAGAUGUUGGGUUAAGUCCCGCAACGAGCGCAACCCUUACUUUUAGUUGCCACCAUUAAGUUGAGCACUCUAAAAGAACUGCCAGUGAUAAGCUGGAGGAAGGUGGGGAUGACGUCAAGUCCUCAUGGCCCUUACGUGUUGGGCUACACACGUGCUACAAUGGUACUUACAGUGAGAUGCUAAGAGGCAACUCUAAGCCAAUCCCAAAAAGGUACCUCAGUUCGGAUUGCACUCUGCAACUCGAGUGCAUGAAGCUGGAAUUACUAGUAAUCGUGGAUCAGCGCGCCACGGUGAAUACGUUCCCGGGUCUUGUACACACCGCCCGUCACACCAUGGAAGUUGGUUACACCUUAAGGCAAAGCAUAAAACCUUUGACUACGGUACGAUCAGCGACUGGGGUGAGGUCGUAACAAGGUAGCCGUAGGGGAACCUGCGGCUGGAUCACCUCCUUUCUAAGGAAAUCGAAAAAUAUAAAAACAAUUAUUUUCGAUUUUAAAAAAAUCGGUUAAUGUAACCGUCCUCAUUUCUCUUCUUUUAAUGUCUCUGAGUAUUUGUAAACUUUGUGAACAAGGGGCCGGUAGCUCAGGUGGUUAGAGCGCACCCCUGAUAAGGGUGAGGUCGGAAGUUCGAGUCUUCCUCGGCCCACCAAUAUUACGGGGGAUUAGCUCAGCUGGGAGAGCGCCUGAUUUGCAUUCAGGAGGUCAGCGGUUCGAUCCCGCUAUCCCCCACCAAAAUUUGAGACAUUUAGCUUUUUUAAAUUGUGAAUAUUAUUAUCAAUAUCUAUAUCCGAUUGUUUUCAUAUUUUAUUGAAAACAAUCAAAACAAAAAUUUAAUUUAUUACAGAAAAGUUUUUUUCUG